rnacentral:rRNA from 1 species
UCCGGUUGAUCCUGCCGGAGGCUACCGCUAUUGGAGUUCGAUUAAGCCAUGCGAGUCGCGAGUCUUAGGGACUCGGCGUACCGCUCAGUAACACGUGGGUAACCUGCCCUAUGCUGGGGGAUAACCUCGGGAAACUGAGAAUAAUACCCCAUAGUUCACCACGCCUGGAACGGUGGGUGGAUGAAAGCUCCGGCGGCAUAGGAUGGGCCUGCGGCGUAUCAGGUUGUAGGGGGUGUAAUGUACCCUCUAGCCAUCUACGCGUACGGGUGUUGGGAGACAUCGCCCGGAGAUGGAUUCUGAGACACGAAUCCAGACCCUACGGGGUGCAGCAGGCGCGAAAACUUGGCAAUGCGAGCAAUCGUGACCAGGGAACUCCAAGUGCAUCGGGUAAGACCGAUGCUUUUCUUGACUCUUCAAAGGUCUUGGAAUAAGGGGUGGGUAAGGACGGUGCCAGCCGCCGCGGUAAUACCGGCGCCUCAAGUGGUAGUCGCUUUUAUUGGGCCUAAAACGUCCGUAGCCGGUUUGGUACAUUCGUGGGUAAAUCAAGGCGCUCAACGUCUUGAAUUCUGCGAGCACGGCCAGACUUGGGACCGGGUGAGGUGUGGGGUACUCUCAGGGUAGGGGUAAAAUCCUGUCAUCCUGAGAGGACCACCUGUUGCGAAGGCGCCACACUAGAACGGAUCCGACGGUCAGGGACGAAGCCUAGGGGCACGAACCGGAUUAGAUACCCGGGUAGUCCUAGGUGUAAACGCUGUGGACUUGAUGUUGGGAGUGCUCCGAGCACCCUCAGUGUCGAAGCGAAGGUGAUAAGUCCACUGCCUGGGGAGUACGGUCGCAAGGCUGAAACUUAAAGGAAUUGGCGGGGGAGCACUGCAACCUGAGGAUUGUGCGGUUUAAUUGGAGUCAACGCCG